UGAUGCAGCAACGCCGCGUGAGGGACGACGGCCUUCGGGUUGUAAACCUCUUUUAGUAGGGAAGAAGCGAAAGUGACGGUACCUGCAGAAAAAGCACCGGCUAACUACGUGCCAGCAGCCGCGGUAAUACGUAGGGUGCGAGCGUUGUCCGGAAUUAUUGGGCGUAAAGAGCUCGUAGGCGGUCUGUCGCGUCUGCUGUGAAAUCCCGAGGCUCAACCUCGGGCCUGCAGUGGGUACGGGCAGACUAGAGUGCGGUAGGGGAGAUUGGAAUUCCUGGUGUAGCGGUGGAAUGCGCAGAUAUCAGGAGGAACACCGAUGGCGAAGGCAGAUCUCUGGGCCGUAACUGACGCUGAGGAGCGAAAGCGUGGGGAGCGAACAGGAUUAGAUACCCUGGUAGUCCACGCCGUAAACGUUGGGCGCUAGAUGUGGGGACCAUUCCACGGUUUCCGUGUCGCAGCUAACGCAUUAAGCGCCCCGCCUGGGGAGUACGGCCGCAAGGCUAAAACUCAAAGGAAUUGACGGGGGCCCGCACAAGCGGCGGAGCAUGCGGAUUAAUUCGAUGCAACGCGAAGAACCUUACCAAGGCUUGACAUAUACGAGAACGGGCUAGAAAUAGUCAACUCUUUGGACACUCGUAAACAGGUGGUGCAUGGUUGUCGUCAGCUCGUGUCGUGAGAUGUUGGGUUAAGUCCCGCAACGAGCGCAACCCUCGUUCUAUGUUGCCAGCGCGUAAUGGCGGGAACUCAUAGGAGACUGCCGGGGUCAACUCGGAGGAAGGUGGGGAUGACGUCAAAUCAUCAUGCCCCUUAUGUCUUGGGCUUCACGCAUGCUACAAUGGCCGGUACAAAGGGCUGCAAUACCGUAAGGUGGAGCGAAUCCCAAAAAGCCGGUCUCAGUUCGGAUUGAGGUCUGCAACUCGACCUCAUGAAGUCGGAGUCGCUAGUAAUCGCAGAUCAGCAACGCUGCGGUGAAUACGUUCCCGGGCCUUGUACACACCGCCCGUCAAGUCAUGAAAGUCGGUAACACCCGAAGCCGGUGGCCUAACCCUUGUGGAAGGAGCCGUCGAAGGUGGGAUCGGUGAU
rnacentral:rRNA from 1 species